UGGAGUAAAAGGCUAUGGNUCAACCAUAGUGUGCUCUGGAAACUNUCUGACUUGAGUGCAGAAGGGGAGAGUGGAAUNCCAUGUGUAGCGGUGAAAUGCGUAGAUAUAUGGAGGANCACCAGUGGCGAAAGCGGCUCUCUGGUCUGUCACUGACGCUGAGGCUCGAAAGCGUGGGUAGCGAACAGGAUUAGAUACCCUGGUAGUNCACGCCGUAAACGAUGAGUGCUAGGUGUUAGGCCCUUUCCGGGGCUUAGUGCCGGAGCUAACGCAAUAAGCACUCCGCCUGGGGAGUACGACCGCAAGGUUGAAACUCAAAGGAAUUGACGGGGGCCCGCACAAGCGGUGGAGCAUGUGGUUUAAUUCGAAGCAACGCGAAGAACCUUACCAGGUCUUGACAUCCCGAUGCUAUUCUUAGAGAUAGGAAGUUACUUCGGUACAUCGGAGACAGGUGGUGCAUGGUUGUCGUCAGCUCGUGUCGUGAGAUGUUGGGUUAAGUCCCGCAACGAGCGCAACCCUUAUUGUUAGUUGCCAUCAUUAAGUUGGGCACUCUAGCGAGACUGCCGGUAAUAAACCGGAGGAAGGUGGGGAUGACGUCAAAUCAUCAUGCCCCUUAUGACCUGGGCUACACACGUGCUACAAUGGUCGGUACAACGAGUUGCGAGCCGGUGACGGCAAGCUAAUCUCUGAAAGCCGAUCUCAGUUCGGAUUGGAGGCUGCAACUCGCCUCCAUGAAGUCGGAAUCGCUAGUAAUCGCGGAUCAGCACGCCGCGGUGAAUACGUUCCCGGGCCUUGUACACACCGCCCGUCACACCACGAGAGUUUGUAACACCCGAAGUCGGUGAGGUAACCUUUUAGGGGCCAGCCGC
rnacentral:rRNA from 1 species